rnacentral:lncRNA from 1 species
GUGGUGGCAAGCCUUCAUUCUUAUCAGAUAGAUCUGGUUUGGGGUAAACACCUAAAGUAAUCUGGAGUCAAAUCAGGCAGUUAAGAGUAAUGACAUUCAGUAAAGUGUGAAAUGGAAAAUGUAAUCUUGGCAACAAAAUAAUGAGAUUCUAGUUCACCAGAAAUAUGUUCUGAAACCAAUUUUCCUGAAGUAAGGCGAGUCAGAUUACAUGGACUUGAUGAGGGCUGGUCCCAGAAAUAAAGAAGGGCCAUCCUGAGGUGAAGACACCCUGAAGAUGAAAGAACACUGUCCAGGGUGGAAUAAAGUACACUGGGAACCAUAAUUGAUGACACACAGCUUCUCAAGGUUAUAGCGUGUGCAGAGCUAGAAACAACAUUGCAUUUCUGGCUAUGGGAAAGGCUUGUUAU